AGAAUCAACGCUGGCGGCGUGCCUCAGACAUGCAAGUCGAACGAUUAAACUUUCCUUCGGGAAAGAUAUAAAGUGGCGCACGGGUGAGUAACACGUAAGUAAUCUACCUUUGAGUGGGGAAUAACAGUCGGAAACGGCUGCUAAUACCGCAUAAUGCAGCGGCAUCGCAAGAUGACAGUUGUUAAAGGAGCAAUCCGCUUAAAGAGGAGCUUGCGGCAGAUUAGCUAGUUGGUAAGGUAAUGGCUUACCAAGGCUACGAUCUGUAACCGGUCUAAGAGGACGGUCGGUCACACUGACACUGAAUAACGGGUCAGACUCCUACGGGAGCAGCAGUCGGAAUUUGGCAAU
rnacentral:rRNA from 1 species